CCAGAGACGCACAGCGCGACCUCCCGGACGAGGGAGCCGUACCCGGUCCAUGACAAGACGGCCUGAA
rfam:Corynebacterium xerosis strain ATCC 373 Contig_32, whole genome shotgun sequence.